rnacentral:tmRNA from 1 species
GGGACUGAAAGGAUUUCUACAUAUUGAUAUUUUAGUUAUUUUUUAUUUAACUUAUCAAAUUUAUUAAUGUUUUAUAUAUUUAUUAACAGAAUAAAUAUGAAAUAUAUAAAUAUAUAAAUAAUAAUAGUAGUUUAAUUGCAAAACAUAAUAUUAUCUCUUUUUCUAAAAAUUUAUCCGUAGCAUAAAUUUUUAGAAUCUUAAAUUUUAUUUUCUUGCUUCAAUUUAUGAAUUUAUUGAAAGAAUGCUCUAACUGUGAAGUGUCAGUAUAUUUUGUAUAAUUAUUAAUUUUUUGGUUAGUAAAGUAUUAAAGAAUUUGAAUUUAAAGUUUUAGUUAGAUAUUUAUAAAUUAAUUACUAUAUUGAUAUGGACGUGGGUUCAAAUCCCACCAGUUCCA